AUUGGGUUCCGGCAUUGGAAUGAGAACAAUAUAAAUCUUUUAACGAGGAUCUAGUGGAGGGCAAGUCUGGUGCCAGCAGCCGCGGUAAUUCCAGCUCCGCAAGUGUAUAUCUAUGUUGCUGCGGUUAAAAAGCUCGUAGUUGGAUCUGCGUGUUUAGCGUCCGGUUCGACUUUUGGUCGUUACUGGAACGCGACACAGAUGUGCUGGUUUGCCGUUGAUGCUCUUAACCGGGUGUCAGUGGCGGCUAGCGAGUUUACUUUGAAAAAAUUAGAGUGCUCAAAACAGGCGUUUCGCCUGAAUAUUUCUGCAUGGAAUAAUAGAAUAGGACUUCGAUUCUAUUCUGUUGGUUUUCGGAAUGCGAAGUAAUGAUUAAGAGGGACAGACGGGGGCAUUCGUACUGCGACGUUAGAGGUGAAAUUCUUGGAUCGUCGCAAGACGUACUACUGCGAAGGCAUUUGCCAAGAAUGUUUUCAUUAAUCAAGAACGAAAGUUAUGGGUUCGAAGGCGAUCAGAUACCGCCCUAGUCAUAACCGUAAACGAUUCAAACUGGGCGCCCGACGGUGUUUUUAUUGACCCGUCGGGAACCCUCCCGGAAACGAAAGUGUUCGUGUUCCGGGGGAAAUAUGUCUGCAAAGAGGAAACUUAAAGGAAUUGACGGAAGGGCACCACCAGGGGUGGAGCCUGCGGCUUAAUUUGACUCAACACGGGGAAACUCACCCGGCCCGGACACCGUAAGGAUUGACAGAUUGAGAGCUCUUUCUUGAUUCGGUGGGUGGUGGUGCAUGGCCGUUCUUAGUUGGUGGAGUGAUUUGUCUGGUUUAUUCCGAUAACGAACGAGACUCUGGCCUGCUAACUAGUGUUCACAUCUUUACGUGUGCUUCGCUUCUUAGAGGGACAGGCGGCUUCCAGCCGCAUGAAGAAGAGCAAUAACAGGUCUGUGAUGCCCUUAGAUGUCCGGGGCUGCACGCGCGCUACACUGAAAGAAUCAGCGUGUACGUUACCUGGCUCGAAAGAGUCGGGUAAUCCGGUGAAAAUCUUUCGUGAUUGGGAUCGGGACUUGCAAUUAUUUCCCUUGAACGAGGAAUCCCUAGUAAGUGCGGGUCAUCAGCUCGCGCUGAUUACGUCCCUGCCCUUUGUACACACCGCCCGUCGCUGCCCGGAACUGAGCCGUUUCGAGAAGAAUGGGGACUGUCUACUUGAGGUCUUCACGGACUUUUUGUAAAUGGAAACCGCUU
rnacentral:rRNA from 1 species